GCCCCAGCGCGCCGCCGCCGCCGCCGUCGCAGCCCCAGUCCCAGGCGGCGGCGGCGGCGGGGGCGGCGGCGGGCGGCCAGCAGGCGGC
ensembl:miRNA